CCUCCUUUACGGCUCUUCACGACUCUCUCUGAUGACAAAGCAGCUGUUUGCCAUUUAAAGGUCGAAUGCCAGUAAUAGCGGGAUGGCAUUUUAUCAUCCGAAGAGCGCAAGCAGACGGGAGAUGAAAACUUGGAGGCUUGAGCCAAGUGCAAUCAAGUCCCUGGGUUGAGAAUCCGUGAAAAUAUGGAAUGUACCUUCAAUUAACCUCUCACAAAUACCUGGUCACCGGGACCGAUUCAUCUGAAGGUUGUUGCCUGGGCUAGCGAGCGUGUGCCUCCUGCCGAGAAGGAAGCAGCCUCUGAUCUUAUUCUCGCGUUCUUUCUGCUGUUGUAUUUACCUCCCUGGAUCAUUAACACGGGGCAGGAUUUGGCUUUGCAGAAAAAGGAGAGACCUUCCUUCCGCCGCGGAGGAAAUUCCAACCUACGCUACCCUGAUCUCGAUUACUCUUGGCACAGUGAUCCUGCAGUCGUUCGAGCCCAGCGUCUUGGCUAGAUACAGAACUGAAGCCUCAGAACAACGGCCUCCAAUCCCUUCACUUUGCAGUUUUUGGCUGUACAAGACAG
ensembl:lncRNA